UCCUCUGUAGUUCAGUCGGUAGAACGGCGGACUGUUAAUCCGUAUGUCA
rnacentral:tRNA from 1 species